CUGAGUCCGCUACUCAUGCUAUUCGAGCGGUAGCACACAGAGCUUGCUCUCGGGUGACGAGCGGCGGACGGGUGAGUAAUGUCUGGGAAACUGCCUGAUGGAGGGGGAUAACUACUGGAAACGGUAGCUAAUACCUCAUAAUGUCUCAAGACCAAAGUGGGGGACCUUCGGGCCUCAUGCCAUCAGAUGUGCCCAGAUGGGAUUUCUAAUCUCGUGGGGUAACGGUUCACCUAGGCGACGAUCCCUAGCUGGUCUGAUAGGAUGACCAGCCACACUGGAACUGAAACACGGUCCAGACUCCUAGCUCGAGGCAACAGUGGGGAAUAUUGCACAAUGGGCGCAAGCCUGAUGCAUCCAUGCCGCGUGUGUGAAGAAGGCCUUCGGGUUGUAAAACACUUUCACCGGGGAUGAAGGCCCUUGAGGUUAGUAACCUUAGCGAUUGACUUUACCUGGAGAAGAAGUCCUAGCUAACUCUCAUGCCAGCGUGCAGAGCAAUACGUGUGGUGCAUCUGUUAAUCGCUAUUUACUGGGCGUACACCAGACGCCCGGCGGUCUGUCAAAUCCGAUGUGAAAUCCGCAGUGCUCAUCCUAGCGUACUGCAUGUCGAACUGGUCAAGCUACAGUCUUUGUACAGGGGAUGUAGACUUCGACGGGUAACGUGAUAUGCAUAGAAGUCUGAAGCAUACGGUGGUCGAAGCGAAUGGGAGAGAAUAUACACUGACCUUCAGUGCAACCGUGGGAACCACGGAUCAAUCCCUGUAUCAGCGUAACGAUGCAUUCGAGUAGACGUUAGCUGCUUCCGGAGCUAACGCGUUAAAUCGACCGCCUGGGGAGUACGGCCGCAAGGUUAAAACUCAAAUGAAUUGACGGGGGCCCGCACAAGCGGUGGAGCAUGUGGUUUAAUUCGAUGCAACGCGAAGAACCUUACCUGGUCUUGACAUCCACAGAACUUUCCAGAGAUGGAUUGGUGCCUUCGGGAACUGUGAGACAGGUGCUGCAUGGCUGUCGUCAGCUCGUGUUGUGAAAUGUUGGGUUAAGUCCCGCAACGAGCGCAACCCUUAUCCUUUGUUGCCAGCGGUUCGGCCGGGAACUCAAAGGAGACUGCCAGUGAUAAACUGGAGGAAGGUGGGGAUGACGUCAAGUCAUCAUGGCCCUUACGACCAGGGCUACACACGUGCUACAAUGGCAUAUACAAAGAGAAGCGACCUCGCGAGAGCAAGCGGACCUCAUAAAGUAUGUCGUAGUCCGGAU
rnacentral:rRNA from 1 species